GCUGAAGUUCGCCUCCCCCUUGCCCAAGUCGGGCGGGGGCCCCGGGCCCCGGCCGGACCCGGGCGGGCUCUGGCGGCCGCUCUGGGAGACGCAGACCCGAGCCCGCGGAGCCUGGGGGAGCCCGGGAGCGCGGAGUCCGCCGGCGGCGGCGGAAGCAGCCGGGUGAGGGCGCUGGAGCCCAGGACACCGGAGGAGCAGCCGCGGCUGGCAGCGGAGAGCCUCUUUGCGCUCAGAGGGCUUGGGGUCGCGGGCAGACGUGAAGCCACUCCUCAUGACUCAAAUGUUGCUGCCAUUGGGUACCCUGUCAGCUCUUCCCGAUCCUGGGUUCUCCUGGAAGCUUGUCGAGAAUUCUGUUGUGGAAUCACAGUACCAUGUGUGGUCCCUCCUGUCCUGGGGGAUCCUAGACCUGAUAACUUCCCAGGGAAGCUCCAGGCAGCAGAUGGUAGUUUAACACAUGAACUUCUGGUCAAGCAGAGAAGCUGCAAGAGGACAAGGGCUUUGUCUGCUCGCUGCUGCAUCCUUAGAACCAAAAACAUUUGUGAAAGGAAGGAAAGGAGGGAAGGAGGACGGGAGG